rnacentral:rRNA from 1 species
UACGAAGGGGGCUAGCGUUGCUCGGAAUCACUGGGCGUAAAGGGUGCGUAGGCGGGUCUUUAAGUCAGGGGUGAAAUCCUGGAGCUCAACUCCAGAACUGCCUUUGAUACUGAGGAUCUUGAGUACGGGAGAGGUGAGUGGAACUGCGAGUGUAGAGGUGAAAUUCGUAGAUAUUCGCAAGAACACCAGUGGCGAAGGCGGACUCACUGGCCCGUAACUGACGCUCAUGCACGACAGCGUGGGGAUCAAACAGG